GACGGGGUGGUGUGUGCCUGUAGUCCCUGCUACUCUGGAGGCCGAGGCAGGAGGAUUGCCUGAGUCCAGGAGUUAUGGGCUGUAGUGUAUUAUGCUGGUCAGGUGUCCUCACUAAGUUCGGCAUCAAUAUGGUGACCUCCCAGGAGCAGGGACCACCAGGUUGCGUAAGAGGGGUGGACUGGCCCUGGCCGAAACUGAGCAGGUCAAAACUCCCGGGCUGACCAAAGUAAGUUCUCAUUUUUUUGCUCCUCUUGAUUCUCUUUUUCCACUAAACCAUAUGGAUCAGCAGCCUGA
rnacentral:SRP_RNA from 1 species